rnacentral:rRNA from 1 species
AUUGAACGCUGGCGGCAGGCCUAACACAUGCAAGUCGAACGGUAACAGAAAGCAGCUUGCUGCUUUGCUGACGAGUGGCGGACGGGUGAGUAAUGUCUGGGAAACUGCCUGAUGGAGGGGGAUAACUACUGGAAACGGUAGCUAAUACCGCAUAACGUCGCAAGACCAAAGAGGGGGACCUUCGGGCCUCUUGCCAUCGGAUGUGCCCAGAUGGGAUUAGCUAGUAGGUGGGGUAACGGCUCACCUAGACGACGAUCCCUAGCUGGUCUGAGAGGAUGACCAGCCACACUGGAACUGAGACACGGUCCAGACUCCUACGGGAGGCAGCAGUAGGGAAUAUUGCACAAUGGGCGCAAGCCUGAUGCAGCCAUGCCGCGUGUAUGAAGAAGGCCUUCGGGUUGUAAAGUACUUUCAGCGAGGAGGAAGGUGUUGAGGUUAAUAACCGCAGCAAUUGACGUUACUCGCAGAAGAAGCACCGGCUAACUCCGUGCCAGCCGCCGCAGUAA